rnacentral:sRNA from 1 species
AUAUAUGAUUUACAUUUUGAUUUUAAAAUAUAAAUUAGCACCAAAAAUAAUUAAUUUUUAAAAAAAUAUAGCGACUGUUUAUAGCGACAUUCAAACUAACAACACAGCGACAAUUAUUAGUGAUUAUCGCUGUAAUUGGUCGCUGAGUCCAGCGACAGACAAACGAACAAUAUAUGUUGUCGCUGGUUGUUGUCGCUGGUCGCUGACUAAGUUUGAGAAAAUAUAUUUUAAUGAAAAAGAU